GACGAACGCUGGCGGCGUGCUUAACACAUGCAAGUCGAACGAAGAGCGAUGGAAGCUUGCUUCUAUCAAUCUUAGUGGCGAACGGGUGAGUAACGCGUAAUCAACCUGCCCUUCAGAGGGGGACAACAGUUGGAAACGACUGCUAAUACCGCAUACGAUCUGACCUCGGCAUCGAGGAUAGAUGAAAGGUGGCCUCUACAUGUAAGCUAUCACUGAAGGAGGGGAUUGCGUCUGAUUAGCUAGUUGGAGGGGUAACGGCCCACCAAGGCGAUGAUCAGUAGCCGGUCUGAGGGGAUGAACGGCCACAUUGGGACUGAGACACGGCCCAGACUCCUACGGGAGGCAGCAGUGGGGAAUCUUCCGCAAUGGACGAAAGUCUGACGGAGCAACGCCGCGUGAGUGAUGACGGCCUUCGGGUUGUAAAGCUCUGUUAAUCGGGACGAAAGGCCUUUUUGCGAAUAGUGAGAAGGAUUGACGGUACCGGAAUAGAAAGCCACGGCUAACUACGUG
rnacentral:rRNA from 1 species